AGACCCGAAACCCGGUGAUCUAGCCAUGGGCAGGUUGAAGGUUGGGUAACACUAACUGGAGGACCGAACCGACUAAUGUUGAAAAAUUAGCGGAUGACCUGUGGCUGGGGGUGAAAGGCCAAUCAAACCGGGAGAUAGCUGGUUCUCCCCGAAAGCUAUUUAGGUAGCGCCUCGUGAAUUCAUCUCCGGGGGUAGAGCACUGUUUCGGCUAGGGGGCCAUCCCGGCUUACCAACCCGAUGCAAACUGCGAAUACCGGAGAAUGUUAUCACGGGAGACACACGGCGGGUGCUAACGUCCGUCGUGAAGAGGGAAACAACCCAGACCGCCAGCUAAGGUCCCAAAGUCAUGGUUAAGUGGGAAACGAUGUGGGAAGGCCCAGACAGCCAGGAUGUUGGCUUAGAAGCAGCCAUCAUUUAAAGAAAGCGUAAUAGCUCACUGGUCGAGUCGGCCUGCGCGGAAGAUGUAACGGGGCUAAACCAUGCACCGAAGCUGCGGCAGCGACACUCAGGUGUUGUUGGGUAGGGGAGCGUUCUGUAAGCCUGCGAAGGUGGCCUGUGAGGGUUGCUGGAGGUAUCAGAAGU
rnacentral:rRNA from 1 species